ensembl:snoRNA SNORD1C small nucleolar RNA, C/D box 1C
UUGAGCUGAGGAUGAUUUAAAGUUAUCCCUGUCUGAAAGGACAUCUUUUGUGAGGAGUUCUGACUUGCUGAGGCUCAA